AGACGGAGGGUGCAAGCGUUAAUCGGAAUUACUGGGCGUAAAGCGCUCGUAGGCGGCUUGUUAAGUCGGAUGUGAAAGCCCUGGGCUCAACCUGGGAACUGCAUUCGAUACUGGCAGGCUAGAGUAUAGUAGAGGCAAGUGGAAUUCCGGGUGUAGCGGUGAAAUGCGUAGAUAUCCGGAGGAACAUCAGUGGCGAAGGCGACUUGCUGGACUACUACUGACGCUGAGGAGCGAAAGCGUGGGGAGCAAACGGGAUUAGCCACCCCGGUAGUCC
rnacentral:rRNA from 1 species